rnacentral:rRNA from 1 species
UACAGAGGUCCCGAGCGUUAGGCGGAAUCACUGGGCUUAAAGCGUGUGUAGGUGGAUCGGUAAGUACCUUGUGAAAUCCCACAGCUUAACUGUGGAACUGCUUGGUAUACUGCCAGUCUUGAGCCACUUAGGGGCUACCGGAACAAAUGGUGGAGCGGUGAAAUGCGUAGAUAUCAUUUGGAACGCCAAUGGUGAAAACAGGUAGCUGGGAGUGUGCUGACACUGAGACACGAAAGCCAGGGGAGCAAACGGG